rnacentral:lncRNA from 1 species
CUAUCCACUACCUCAUUUUCAAUUUGUUUAUUCACUUAUUUAUUCAAAAAAUGCUUGUUGAACGUUUAUACGCAUUAAGAAGUGGUUGUUGAACAUUCACUACGCAUUAAGUAGCAGAUAUACAGAUGGAAACAUGGCAUCCUUGGCCUCAAGCUAUGCUGUUUAAAGUAGAAAUUGGAAGACCCAUGAACAAGCCUUCCCUCUGACUGUGAAAAGUGGUAUAGGGGAAUUCAGUAUAAGUUCUGUGGAGAUCCUCAACAGGAGGACACCUAUGUCUUUCUGGGCCAUCAGAGAAGCCUUCAGAGAGGAAUGAACUUCUGUGGAUCCUUCUUCACAGUUUCAGAUUUUACUUUCUACUCUUGUCAGUCAUAUCUGCAAGGCUGACAGUUACCAGGGGCUGUGGCCAGGCAUGAGGGAGAAUGUGUCAUUGCUGGCUGCGUUGGUCAUAGCAACGUGUCUGCCUCAGAACAGAUCCAGCAUGGAUGAGCAAACAGAAAAAUGUGUAAGAAGGCUUGUGACUGAAACAGACCAAGGGUUAGACUUCUCCUAUGGAGAAUGCAGCAAGAAAAUACCAUCUUGAAGCAGAGAGCAGCGCUCAUCAGGCAUCAGUCCUUCUGGAGCCUUGAUCUUGGACCUCCCAGCUCCAAA